UCACCCUGCAAUUGUACAUCAGCGUAUCAGUUUCAGUUUUUCCUUUUCUUUCGGUUGUAAAGUCAGCAUACUAGUUCAUUGAGAUCUUAUUUGAAAAGUAAAGCUUUUGUAAACUGUAUUAUAAUAGAGUUUACAGGCUACAUCAGGUGAAUUUUUUUUUUUUUCAAGCUUGAACAACAUCAACUCAUGACAGAGAAUAGUACAGUGAUUGAGAAAGCUUUACAGCACAAGAAAAGGUCGAGCCAUGAGCAUAAAAUGAGCAAAAUCGAUCUCAUGGUUUCCGACUGUCCAAAUCCAAGGCUGGUAGGCGGCGCUUCUCUCAAUAAACCGGCUCCAGGUAUCCCAUCUCACAUUGUCAUGAAACGGGUAGUCAUCGGCAUAACUGAGGUCACCCACAAAAAGCAACGCCCCAGAGUUCGAAUUGGAGUCGUAGUGUGAGAGCGUAAUGUUUGAAUCAUAAGUUUGCCCAAGAUCACCUGCACGAAAGAACUUAGAUUGCAUUAUAGUACACAAAAACCGACUAGACUUGGUGCCAAAAUAACUACGGCAAGGAAUGUACAUCCAUAAGGUGCUCUGAAAACUUUAUAGGUGUUAAGAUCUCGUUUGGUGUCGACAUUAAUAGUGCAGGAAUUGAUGUACUCUAAUUUACCAUGAAAAUGCAGAUUCGGCUUACCUGUUUUGUGAAUAACAAUUUCUAUUACACUGACAUCGGUUCUCGAAAGCAUUUGUUGUGUACAUGUUUAUGUGGAACCAGAGGAUAAACUAAAAAGAGAAAAGGAGAACCCAUGAAGGGAAUUUACCAAUGAGGCCAAAAGUAUACGGAACAUCGGGACCGACUUUAGGUGGACUUUUGAACCAGAACUGCCUUUCUGUUUGCCCGACUCCGACGGUAUAGUAGUAAGUUGUAUCAUACUGCAAAUUACCGAAAAAAAUGAGAAUAAUUUAUUUAAGUUAUUUGCUUAUAUUCGAAUUCAUAAGCUGUGAAAGUGAGUAGGAAUCACCAUCAAAUCCUUGAGGACACAGUGAUGAAUGUAUCCCGAGGUGUAGUUGUAGAAUUGAUAGCGAGUGUAGCUGCCCUUGGCGGAUUUGUUGAGCUUGUCCUUUGAGGUUCCAUAGAGCACCUUGCUAGAUCCUGGCUCGUCGGCAGUAGUCCAUGAUACGAUCACGGCCGAGCCCUCAAGAUCACCUUGAGUUAUGUGAACCUUCGUCGAGCAAAAAGAUCAAACACUUUAGGUGGCACGCGGAAGACGUUGCUGUCGAGCGGCAUGUCGACGGAAGCCAGCAGCUGCCGCCUGUAGGCGCUCGUGACACCCGCGUCAACGCACG